AUAUAUAUAUAUAUAUAUAUAUUAAAGAGCAAUAGAACCAAACAACGCCUCAACCAAAUGGCAAAAAAAGGACAUCCACUUACCAACCAGCCGAUGAUGUUAGGUUGAAAAGGCUGCUGAUCAACACUUUGCGCCACGAAAUACAUUUAAGCUUUGAAAAAAAAUCACUGAGGACUGAAAAUUGUUCGCUAUCAACUACAACCAGCACGUCAUUCAAUUCAACCUCACAAUGGAAGCCUCUUNAAGUACAACCGUGCAAUUGAGCCCAACUCUAAAUUUACAUAACACACUCUCUCUUUCAGACUUUCACUGUUGCACAUAACCCUAAAACAUGAUAACAUUCAAAUUCUCAAAUCCCUAAUUUUUUUCCCCUCUCUCUCUCUCUCUCUCUCGUUCUCCCUCAGACCCUCACCCAGUCAGGCAGUCACCCUAGCUCAGAUUUCUUGCAAUUAUUUUGUAUUUUGAAUUAUUGAACAUAUUGCAUCAAAUUAUAGGUAAUGUUAUAUAAAAAUUAAACUAUUAAUUAUAUAAUGUCGAGAAUUUCAAUAGGCUCGUUUAGAGCUCGAGCUCGGCUCGACUCGAAAUUAGGCUCGCUCGAGCUCGGCUCGAAUUAAUUUCAAGCCGAGCUUGAGCCUAGAUUUAGGCUCGAAAUUAAUUUCAAGCCAAAUUUGAGCUGACAUAAGCUCGCUCGAGCUCGGCUCGUUUCCACCCCUAGUCAUUCGAGACCCAUCUCACACUAUCUAUUAGUAAGUGGCUUCAAUACCAACUGUAAAGCCCGUUUUCUAGGAGAGUCAUCUAUUCUAAAACUGUUCUACCCUUAACAUUAACUCUUUAAACUAGCUCCAGGACACUCAAAGUAUUACAGCCGAAUUUAGAGAUUUAGUCAAAUUAUACAUUA
rnacentral:lncRNA from 1 species